rnacentral:rRNA from 1 species
CGUUCCCGGGCCUUGUACACGACCGCCCGUCACAUCACGAAAGUGGAUUGUACUAGAAGUCUUAAUCAAACAAGCCCAAGGUAUGAUUCAUGAUUGGGGUGUAA